UUGGCUGCUGCUAGAGGGCUCUGUAGAGGGGCAUGGGCUGCAGUCUAAUCAGAAGGCCACAGGGGAUAGGCCUGUGCCAGAGUUCAGGGUUGAAAAGACCUAUUGCCUGUGUAAACCAAUGUUUGUAAAUAACCCAUGUACAAA